rnacentral:snoRNA from 14 species
UGAGAAAAUCAAACCUAAGUUCCCAUUAGGUUUUCCAUAUGCUACUUGAGUAGCACUUAACCUGUUGGGAACAUUU